UACGAAGGGACCUAGCGUAGUUCGGAAUUACUGGGCUUAAAGAGUUCGUAGGUGGUUAAAAUAGUUGGUGGUGAAAUCCCAGAGCUUAACUCUGGAACUGCCAUCAAAACUUUUUAGCUAGAGUAUGAUAGAGGAAAGUAGAAUUUCUAGUGUAGAGGUGAAAUUCGUAGAUAUUAGAAAGAAUACCGAUUGCGAAGGCAGCUUUCUGGAUCAUUACUGACACUGAGGAACGAAAGCAUGGGUAGCGAAGAGG
rnacentral:rRNA from 1 species